GUAAAUAUAGUUUAACAAAAAUAUUAGAUUGUGAGUCUGAUAAUAGAAGUGUAAAUCUUCUUAUUUACC
rnacentral:tRNA from 1 species